UUAACUCAAGUUUGUAUGGAGUUGAAACAGCGCCCCUAGCGGCAAACGUAGGCAAACGUUUUAACUCCAUACAAACUUUAGUUA
rnacentral:pre_miRNA from 1 species